UUUGUGUUCAUUCACUGCCUCCUGGAAACAUGCAGAUGCAGCCGCUCCGUUUUCUGCAGUAUUGUAGUUCAUGCAACCGUGCACUAGGCCAUGAGGCAGAUAUCUACAUUUACAAGGGGGAGAGUGCUUUCUGUAGUACUGAAUGCCGAGAAAAAGGAAUGAUGAUUGACCAUGCUCGAAGGAACCCGUCUUGAAAUUGCACAUCCAUAUCCAUCAGCAAUUAAACGAUUUGAAAUCAUGUUCGGAGAAAGUAUGGCUGUGAUACUCCGUAAUGUAGUUGGUUAUUCAACUAUUUCUGGACUAUAUCUAUCUUAUGAAAUGAAACUGGCACUUUUGUGUUUGAUUUUUUUAGCCAACACCAACUUUGCAACAUGAAAAAUGAUAAAUCAAGAGGCAUCUAGUGUUUGGGCA